UAAUCUCAGCAGGUAGUGAUGAG
rnacentral:miRNA from 1 species